rnacentral:rRNA from 1 species
GACGAACGCUGGCGGCGUGCUUAACACAUGCAAGUCGAACGAAGAGCGAUGGAAGCUUGCUUCUAUCAAUCUUAGUGGCGAACGGGUGAGUAACGCGUAAUCAACCUGCCCUUCAGAGGGGGACAACAGUUGGAAACGACUGCUAAUACCGCAUACGGUCUAACCUCGGCAUCGAGGAAAGAUGAAAGGUGGCCUCUAUGUAUAAGCUAUCUCUGAAGGAGGGGAUUGCGUCUGAUUAGCUAGUUGGAGGGGUAACGGCCCACCAAGGCGAUGAUCAGUAGCCGGUCUGAGAGGAUGAACGGCCACAUUGGGACUGAGACACGGCCCAGACUCCUACGGGAGGCAGCAGUGGGGAAUCUUCCGCAAUGGACGAAAGUCUGACGGAGCAACGCCGCGUGAGUGAUGACGGCCUUCGGGUUGUAAAGCUCUGUUAAUCGGGACGAAAGGCCUUCUUGCGAAUAGUGAGAAGGAUUGACGGUACCGGAAUAGAAAGCCACGGCUAACUACGUG